AGUUAGAGUUUGAACCAAAACAGCUGAGUUGAACCAGCCAGAGUUCAGGAAGAGUAAGCAAGAAAGGAAAACCACCACUGGAAAAAAUGAAAGGACAACUGAAUAAGAAAGUACCAUGGUAUUUUCUUUGAAAUUGUAUCUUCUGUAUAGCACAAGGAAGUUACGAAUGUGAAAGGUCAUCAAUAUGAUUGCCUCAGCAAAACCACAUCAAAGACCAUACCAACUGACAUGCUAACACAGGGAGCUUGAAGUGCCUUGUAGAUGUUAUCACAUGAAUCCUCUUGCUGUCCCAGUGAGGCCAGGAACAAAUAGUCUGCCAUCCUGAAGAACAGACUGAGAAAGCAGUUAUCAGGGAACAUAGGAUACACAGCAGUCUCCAUGAAGGAUGAAUGCAGUGCAUAUUGUUGCAGUGGUUUGCGAAAGCUCACAUCCUAGCAGCAUCAUUUGGAUGGAUGGAGGGGAGAGAUCUGGUGGAAUUUUUCAAAUGUUCUGAACUGACUUCUUCAAUACCAGGAGGAACUUAGCCAAGCAAGCCCAGCUACAAGUAUGUGCCACUGAUAUUUCUUCCUGAAGCCAACCUAAAAUCUGCAGAGGGGGAGAAUCCUGCAUACCCAUGGUCCUCAUAUGAAGAAAAUGAUGGUUCUUAUUUUUCUACACUACAGACUGUUGCCUGUUCAAGAUGCUUCUUUGUAACAUAACUCUCUUCAAUGCUAGGUAUGAGUUCUUCAUAUGUUUUAUGGUAUAGUUGCCUCAAACUACCUGUGGCUGUGGAGCACAUAAAACAGGGUUAUUAGAGCGAGUCAAAUUUUAAAUUCAAUCUUACUUAAAUUAAUUUAAAUAAUGUAUCAGGAACUUCUUUUGUAUUAAAUAUGUUUAAUUUGUCCCCAAAUGUGCAACAAUGCAAAAGACCUGAUUAGCAGCAUACUUGUGACUUGUAACGCCAAUGUGAAAGGCUUCGACAGUAUACUUCUAAGAAAAGGUUCUUCCAUUCAGCAAUAUACUAAUAAAUUAAUCCACAGAAUUUUGUGAAUGAGCCUAAUAAUCCAUCUUUCUUUGGUGAAGUUAUUACUUCAUCAUGUGAGUCUACUGUACAUUUAAAAAUAUGUUUGCACAUAAAUACAUACUUAGAUUGUUUAUAAUUUUGGCUUACUGUGUUAAACUUUAAGCAUUUUUCUAUAGACCUUAGAAACCUUACACUUUUAUUUAUCUCUAGUAUAGAAUUAUCUAGAAUUGCUGGACCAUAGGAAUUUUAAGUGUGUAGAAUAAUAAGAAUGUGGUCAAAAACGUUUCCCACAGUUUGAUCACUGUACUUCACCACCCAUCCCUCGAGAUUUCCUGCUGCCCCACACCUUGGCAAGUCUUUGGCUUCUGCUGUUCUUUCCUUUUUUGUUCCUUGUAGUUCUUACAAUAUAAGUUGUAUUUCCCUGGUUCUAACAAUACUGACAAUUUUUAUCUAUUUUUGCUUCUCUCAUAGAGUUAUUAUUCACAGACACUCUUUCUCACAAGUUACCUUGUGUUUGUACACAAGUUUUAGGUAGUCUCUGUUCCAGACAGCACAUAGAUCCUGGAAGUAUUUCUCCCAGCAUGUGGCUACUCCCUUCAUGUUCGUAAUGAUGCCUUAAAUGGAAAGUGUUUAAUUUUGAUGAAGUCUUAUUUAUCAACUUGCCAUUUUAUGGUUAUUGCUACAAGCAACCUAUUUUUGCCUAUUUCCACAUUGUGAAGACAUUCUCUUUUGUUUUAUUUCUGAAGCUUAUGUUAUUUAUUUAACUUGUGGACCUUUAAGCCACUAUUUUAAAAAGUGUGUGCACAUUACACAAGGCAGGAAAUUAGAUUAGUUUUAAUAUAGAUGAUCAGUUAUUUUUGCAUUAUAUGAUAUUUCUGUGCCUUGUUCAAAAUAAAUAGUUGUGAGUAUGUAGGUCUGAAACUGGAAUUUAUUUUUGUUGCAAUGUUUUAUAUCCAUUUUCGGCAUAAGUAUGGUAUUAUAUUGAUUAUUCUACAUCAUUAAAUCAUCGUCAAAUUUUGUUAUGCUUCCUUCAAUUUUUCAAAUGUUUUUCAACAUUGUUGCAGAUAGUUGUUUUACUUUUAUACCAAUUUAUCUUUUUGAUUCAUCUUAUAGCUAUCUAGAAAGUAGAUGGAUACAAUUCUGUAAAUAUUAUUGGGGAUAAAUUAAUAUGUAACAAUAUUAAUAAUAAGCCUAUGGCCUGUUCAUAUUUUGUAUAGUUUCACUUCUUUUAAUGUUUUUAUUUUUCCAUAACAAAAAUUAGUUUUGAGUAUAGAGGUCUUAAUAAUUUUUAGAGGUUUUAGUAUGGAUUCAUUUUUUGUAAGUUUAUUAUAUGUGGACUUCUUUUUUAUUUAAUUUUAAUUACUUACUGUUAAUAUAAAAUGAAAAUAUUGUAGAUCGUCUUUCUGUUUUGUAAACUUAAUAAAUUAGCUUCUGUUAGUUCUG